rnacentral:rRNA from 1 species
CCUACGGGAGGCAGCAGUGAGGAAUAUUGGUCAAUGGGCGCAAGCCUGAACCAGCCAAGUCGCGUGAGGGAAGACGGCCCUACGGGUUGUAAACCUCUUUUGCCGGGGAGCAAGCCUGAGCACGUGUGCCCCGGCGGAGAGUACCCGGAGAAAAAGCAUCGGCUAACUCCGUGCCAGCAGCCGCGGUAAUACGGAGGAUGCGAGCGUUAUCCGGAUUUAUUGGGUUUAAAGGGUGCGUAGGCGGAUUUUUAAGUCAGCGGUAAAAUGUCCGGGCUCAACCCGGGCCGGCCGUUGAAACUGGGGAGCUUGAGUGGGCGAGAAGUAGGCGGAAUGCGUGGUGUAGCGGUGAAAUGCAUAGAUAUCACGCAGAACUCCGAUUGCGAAGGCAGCAUACCGGCGCCCGACUGACGCUGAGGCACGAAAGCGUGGGGAUCGAACAGGAUUAGAUACCCGUGUAGUC